rnacentral:rRNA from 1 species
GAUGAACGCUGGCGGCGUGCCUAAUACAUGCAAGUCGAGCGAACAGAUGAGGAGCUUGCUCCUCUGACGUUAGCGGCGGACAGGGGAGUAACACGUGGAUAACCUACCUAUAAGACUGGGAUAACUUCGGGAAACCGGAGCUAAUACCGGAUAAUAUAUUGAACCGCAUGGUUCAAUAGUGAAAGACGGUUUUGCUGUCACUUAUAGAUGGAUCCGCGCCGCAUUAGCUAGUUGGUAAGGUAACGGCUUACCAAGGCAACGAUGCGUAGCCGACCUGAGAGGGUGAUCCGCCACACUGGAACUGAGACACGGUCCAGACUCCGACGGGAGGCAGCAGUAGGGAAUCUUCCGCAAUGGGCGAAAGCCUGACGGAGCAACGCCGCGUGAGUGAUGAAGGUCUUCGGAUCGUAAAACUCUGUUAUUAGGGAAGAACAAAUGUGUAAGUAACUAUGCACGUCUUGACGGUACCUAAUCAGAAAGCCACGGCUAACUACGUG